GACGAACGCUGGCGGCGUGCCUAAUACAUGCAAGUCGAGCGGACGAAUCGAAAGCUUGCUCUUGAUUCGUUAGCGGCGGACGGGUGAGUAACACGUGGGCAACCUGCCCUGUAGACGGGGAUAACACCGAGAAAUCGGUGCUAAUACCGGAUAAUAUGUAAUGUCGCAUGACGCUUUGUUGAAAGACGGUGCUAGUUUCCGCUACAGGUUGAGCCCGCGGCGCAUUAGCUAGGUGUUGAGGUAACGGCUCACCAAGGCGACGAUGCGUAGCCGACCUGAGAGGGUGAUCGGCCACACUGGGACUGAGACACGGCCCAGACUCCUACGGGAGGCAGCAGUAGGGAAUCUUCCGCAAUGGACGAAAGUCUGACGGAGCAACGCUGCGUGAGCGAUGAAGGCCUUCGGGUCGUAAAGCUCUGUUGUUAGGGAAGAACAAGUAACGAAGUAACUGGCGUUACCGUGACGGUACCUAACGAGAAAGCCACGGCUAACUACGUG
rnacentral:rRNA from 1 species